rnacentral:rRNA from 1 species
AGUACGCCGGCAACGGUGAAACUCAAAGGAAUUGACGGGGGCCCGCACAAGCGGAGGAACAUGUGGUUUAAUUCGAUGAUACGCGAGGAACCUUACCCGGGCUUGAAAUGUACCUGACCGUCCUUGAAAAGGGACUUCUAGCAAUAGCAGGUAUGUAGGUGCUGCAUGGUUGUCGUCAGCUCGUGCCGUGAGGUGUCGGCUUAAGUGCCAUAACGAGCGCAACCCACAUUAUUAGUUACUAACAGGUUAAGCUGAGGACUCUAAUAAGACUGCCGUCGUAAGAUGCGAGGAAGGUGUGGAUGACGUCAAAUCAGCACGGCCCUUACGUCCGGGGCGACACACGUGUUACAAUGGGAGGUACAAAGGGCUGCUACCUGGUGACAGGAUGCUAAUCCCCAAAGCCUCUCCCAGUUCGGAUCGGAGUCUGCAACUCGACUCCGUGAAGCUGGAUUCGCUAGUAAUCGCGCAUCAGCCAUGGCGCGGUGAAUACGUUCCCGGGCCUUGUACACACCGCCCGUCAAGCCAUGGGAGCCGGGGGUAUCUGAAGUGCGUAACCGCAAGGAGCGUCCUAGGGUAAAACUGGUGACUGGGGCUAAGUCGUAACAAGG